UCCUCGGCAGUAUAGUGGUCAGUAUCUCCUCCUGUCACGUUGAAGGCCCGGGUUCGAUUCCCGGUCGGGAAU
rfam:Opisthorchis viverrini opera_v5_90.23, whole genome shotgun sequence.